GAUGAACGCUAGCGGGAGGCCUAACACAUGCAAGCCGAGCGGUAUUGUUUCUUCGGAAAUGAGAGAGCGGCGUACGGGUGCGUAACACGUGUGCAACCUGCCUUUAUCUGGGGGAUAGCCUUUCGAAAGGAAGAUUAAUACUCCAUAAUAUAUUGAACGGCAUCGUUUAAUAUUGAAAGCUCCGGCGGAUAGAGAUGGGCACGCGCAAGAUUAGCUAGUUGGUGAGGUAACGGCUCACCAAGGCGAUGAUCGUUAGGGGGCCUGAGAGGGUGAUCCCCCACACUGGUACUGAGACACGGACCAGACUCCUACGGGAGGCAGCAGUGAGGAAUAUUGGUCAAUGGGUGCAAGCCUGAACCAGCCAUCCCGCGUGAAGGACGACUGCCCUAUGGGUUGUAAACUUCUUUUGUAUAGGGAUAAACCUACCCGCGUGAGGGUAGCUGAAGGUACUAUACGAAUAAGCACCGGCUAACUCCGUGCCAGCCGCCGCUGUAAAAC
rnacentral:rRNA from 1 species